CCUCCUUAAACGAUAAGCUCGAUCAGUGUCCACACAAAUUGUGUAUUGCAAUUAGUUCUUUAACAAUUUAGAAAUGCAAAUAAGUUUUAUGAAUUUGAUGUUGGUAACGCGAUGCGAUUUAACUCUUGAGUUAGAUUGAUUAGCCUUACGAAUAUUGUUUAUUAAAGCUGAGUUUAAAUACAAGCGUUGUGCGAAAAAAUAUCGUUAUAAAUGGUUACACAGUCCCUAUCAGCGGGUAACUGAUGUAACAAAUUUCUCAUUUUAUUGUAUGACUCAAAAAGACGUGAUUGUAUGUUUGAUAUUGAUGGUAACCGUUUUGGUUGUUAUUAAUGUGAAAUGUAAAAGUCGCCAAAUUUUUUUUAUGCAGCGAGGCGUAAGCCCGCGUGGUUGAGUGAGCAUAACAACGCUAUGUGAUCGAAAGCACAAGGUUGAAGCAACAAAGCGGGCAUAAAAAAAGGGCAAGAACUUUUUUAGGGGUUUUUUUGGUCAAGUGGAAUAAGCGUACCCGGUGGAAUGCCGUUGGCAAAGGG
rnacentral:misc_RNA from 1 species